GGAUUCCCCUAGUAACUGCGAGUGAAGCGGGAAAAGCUCAAAUUUAAAAUCUGGCAGUCUUUGGCUGUCCGAGUUGUAAUCUAGAGAAGUAUUAUCCGCGCUGGACCGUGUACAAGUCUCCUGGAAUGGAGCGUCAUAGAGGGUGAGAAUCCCGUCUUUGACACGGACUGCCAGGGCUUUGUGAUGUGCUCUCGAAGAGUCGAGUUGUUUGGGAAUGCAGCUCAAAAUGGGUGGUAAAUUCCAUCUAAAGCUAAAUAUUGGCGAGAGACCGAUAGCGAACAAGUACCGUGAGGGAAAGAUGAAAAGAACUUUGGAAAGAGAGUUAAACAGUACGUGAAAUUGCUGAAAGGGAAACGCUUGAAGUCAGUCGCAUUGGCCAGGGAUCAACCUUGCUUUUUUGCUUGGCUUACUUUCUGGUUGAUGGGUCAGCAUCAAUUUUGACUGGUAGAAAAAGUUCAAGGGAAUGUGGCAUCUUCGGAUGUGUUAUAGCCUUUGUUCACAUAUAUCAGUUGGGAUUGAGGAACUCAGCACGCCGCAAGGCCGGGUUUUUAACCACGUACGUGCUUAGGAUGCUGGCAUAAUGGCUUUAAUCGACCCGUCUUGAAACACGGACCAAGGAGUCUAACAUGCCUGCGAGUGUUUGGGUGAAAAACCCGAGCGCGUAAUGAAAGUGAAAGUUGAGAUCCCUGUCAUGGGGAGCAUUGACGCCCGGAUCUGACCUUUUGUGACGAUUCUGCGGUAGAGCAUGUAUGUUGGGACCCGAAAGAUGGUGAACUAUGCCUGAAUAGGGUGAAGCCAGAGGAAACUCUGGUGGAGGCUCGUAGCGAUUCUGACGUGCAAAUCGAUCGUCAAAUUUGGGUAUAGGGGCGAAAGACUAA
rnacentral:rRNA from 1 species